GUUCUCUUAUCUCCGAAUGCUCUCGUUUUUUUCUUAAACAGCCAAGACUCAGAUGCCAGACUCAAAACAUUUGCAGCAUGGCAAAGGAUGGAUCAAAAGACCUGCCUCUGUGCCUCGAUACCGGACUCCGUGCUCCAGCUUGCGGGCUUCCAGCUGCUCAGAGCGGGCCGCGACACAGAGAGCUCUCCGGCAAGACGAAGGGUGGAGGAAUCUGCUUCUACUCCAACAACAGCUGGUGCAACGACAUAACAAUAAUUCUACAACACUGUUCUCCUGAUCUGGAAUCUUUCAUCAUCCACUGUAAACCCUUUUUCUCCCCCCGUGAGUUCGCUUCAUUCAUCCGCCGCCGGGCAACGUGCCCGAGGCACAGCAGGCAUUCGCCGACCAGAUACGGCGUGUGGAGCGGACCAACCCGGACUCCUUGGUCAUUGUACUCUGGGACUUUGACAAAGGUAAUCUCAGCUAUAAACAACCAGAGAGGAUAACAUUCUAGAUCACGUUUACACAAGCAUAAGCAGGGCUUAUCACACCAUCCCUUGUGCUGCGCUGGGACACUGCAUCUGAUUCCUGCAUACAGGCAGAAUCUAAAGCUCUUCAAACCUGUGGUGAGGGAAUUCAAGAAGUGGACCAGUGAGGCACUAGUGGAUCUUUGGGCGUGCUUGGACUGCACAGACUGGGAAGUUUUCAGCACUGCCACCAACAGUCUGGAUGAGUUCACAGAGGCUUAAACUUCUAACAUUGGCUUCUGUGAGAACAGCUGUGUACCAUCAUGUAGCAGGGUGAGUUUUAACAACGACAAUGUUCACAGCGGAACUCAUAAAACUACGACUGCAGAAAGAUCAGGCGUUUAGGAGUGGGGACAAAGACGUGUACACAGACAGGUUUAGCAAGGUGGAGAGAGAUGCUAAAUGACUGUGUACUGUACUCUGAGAAACUUCAACAACAAUUCUCAGCAAGUGACUCUACAAGCCCAAAACCCCCCACUCCAUGAAUGACGUCCGCCUGGCAGACGAGUAGAAUGAGUUCUACUGCAGAUUUGAUAGUCAAUGUCCUGACGCCAUCUUCCACAGCUCCACCAACCUGCCCCAGACCCCUUCCCCAGCCCAGCAGGGGCUCGCGCCUCUGUAUCACCCUUCCCUCUCCCAGCCCCCUCACCAGCAACAACCCUCUCUAUUCUGGAAAGACAGGCUCUUUCAAAGAAAAACCGUGAAGCAGCCGGUCCGGACUCCGUCUCCCCCCACACUCUGAAGCAUUGUGCUGAUCAGCUGUGGCCCUCCAGCAUCUGGACUCCCCAG
ensembl:lncRNA